UACAGAGGGUGCGAGCGUUAAUCGGAAUUACUGGGCGUAAAGCGCGCGUAGGCGGCUUUUCAAGUCGAUUGUGAAAUCCCCCGGGCUUAACCUGGGAACUGCAGUCGAGACUGUCUAGCUAGAGUAUGGAAGAGGGAAGUGGAAUUUCAGGUGUAGCGGUGAAAUGCGUAGAUAUCUGAAGGAACAUCAGUGGCGAAAGCGACUUCCUGGACCAAUACUGACGCUCAUGUGCGAAAGCGUGGGGAGCAAACAGG
rnacentral:rRNA from 1 species